rnacentral:rRNA from 1 species
UGGGGAAUAUUGCACAAUGGGCGCAAGCCUGAUGCAGCCAUGCCGCGUGUGUGAAGAAGGCCUUCGGGUUGUAAAGCACUUUCAGCGAGGAGGAAGGCAGUCGUGUUAAUAGCACGGUUGACUGACGUUACUCGCAGAAGAAGCACCGGCUAACUCCGUGCCAGCAGCCGCGGUAAUACGGAGGGUGCAAGCGUUAAUCGGAAUUACUGGGCGUAAAGCGCACGCAGGCGGUUUGUUAAGUCAGAUGUGAAAUCCCCGCGCUUAACGUGGGAACUGCAUUUGAAACUGGCAAGCUAGAGUCUUGUAGAGGGGGGUAGAAUUCCAGGUGUAGCGGUGAAAUGCGUAGAGAUCUGGAGGAAUACCGGUGGCGAAGGCGGCCCCCCUGGACAAA